CUUCAAAGAAAGCUGUUUUUGUCCUUUGAAGGUUUGGCCAGUGUUUGACCUUCUCGCUGAAUCGUCCAAUUUCUUUCAAAGGACACAAUUGGGAACCUUGAUUAUUACCAAAGCUUUGACCGGAAUGUUAUAUUUGAGAGAAACAUAAAGAUUCAGAUAUGACAAGACAGCUUUUGAGGAACAAAGAUUGGACUCUAUGAAAUAAAUCCAUUUGGAAAUAUUAGUCUGUUACCUUGUUUACAGGGUUCCCAGCAACCUUACCAGGAAUGUGAUGACCCCCAGGCAGCGAGUCUAUGCUGAUAGCCAUCAUCAAUGACAACUAAAAAAGCAAGAUCCUGUAACAUGCAGUGUCUGUGGAGGUCCAACAGGCUGACUUCUCCUUCCCAAGAUGGAAGAGGCUGCUGAUUUGCAUGCAUUCAUAUAUUCCUGUCAAUAUUCCAGAUCUAUAAACGUGUCUGUUUCUGGAGUGUCCUUUGAACUGGUUGUAAUAUCUUACUAGUUUCCUCACUG
rnacentral:lncRNA from 1 species